rnacentral:rRNA from 1 species
GAAAACGACUGCUAAGACUGGAUAGGAGACAAGAAGGCAUCUUCUUAUUUUUAAAAGACCUAGCAAUAGGUAUGCUUAGGGAGGAGCUUGCGUCACAUUAGUUAGUUGGUGGGGUAAAGGCCUACCAAGACUAUGAUGUGUAGCCGGGCUGAGAGGUUGAACGGCCACAUUGGGACUGAGACACGGCCCAAACUCCUACGGGAGGCAGCAGUAGGGAAUUUUCGGCAAUGGAGGAAACUCUGACCGAGCAACGCCGCGUGAACGAUGAAGUAUUUCGGUAUGUAAAGUUCUUUUAUUAGGGAAGAAUAAAUGAUGGAAAAAUCAUUCUGACUGUACCUAAUGAAUAAGCCCCGGCUAACUAUGUGCCAGCAGCCGCGGUAAUACAUAGGGGGCAAGCGUUAUCCGGAAUUAUUGGGCGUAAAGGGUGCGUAGGCGGUUAAAUAAGUUUAUGGUCUAAGUGCAAUGCUCAACAUUGUGAUGCUAUAAAAACUGUUUAGCUAGAGUAAGAUAGAGGCAAGUGGAAUUCCAUGUGUAGUGGUAAAAUGCGUAAAUAUAUGGAGGAACACCAGUAGCGAAGGCGGCUUGCUGGGUCUUUACUGACGCUGAGGCACGAAAGCGUGGGGAGCAAACAGGAUUAGAUACCCUGGUAGUCCACGCUGUAAACGAUGAGUACUAAACGUUGGGUAAAACCAGUGUUGAAGUUAACACAUUAAGUACUCCGCCUGAGUAGUACGUACGCAAGUAUGAAACUUAAAGGAAUUGACGGGACUCCGCACAAGCGGUGGAUCAUGUUGUUUAAUUCGAAGGUACCCGAAAAACCUCACCAGGUCUUGACAUGCUUCUGCAAAGUUGUAGAAAUACAGUGGAGGUUAUCAGUUGCACAGGUGGUGCAUGGUUGUCGUCAGCUCGUGUCGUGAGAUGUUGGGUUAAGUCCCGCAACGAGCGCAACCCUUAUUGUUAGUUACCAGCACGUAAUGGUGGGGACUUUAGCAAGACUGCCAGUGAUAAAUUGGAGGAAGGUGGGGACGACGUCAAAUCAUCAUGCCCCUUACGACCUGGGCUACAAACGUGAUACAAUGGCUGUUACAAAGGGUAGCUGAAACGCAAGUUUUUGGCGAAUCUCAAAAAAACAGUCUCAGUUCGGAUUGAAGUCUGCAACUCGACUUCAUGAAGUUGGAAUCGCUAGUAAUCGCGAAUCAGCAUGUCGCGGUGAAUACGUUCACGGGGUUUGUACACACCGCCCGUCA